rnacentral:rRNA from 1 species
GACGAACGCUGGCGGCGUGCCUAAUACAUGCAAGUCGAGCGAAGUUUUUCUGGUGCUUGCACUAGAAAAACUUAGCGGCGAACGGGUGAGUAACACGUAAAGAACCUGCCUCAUAGACUGGGACAACUAUUGGAAACGAUAGCUAAUACCGGAUAACAGCCUUAACUGCAUGGUUGAUGUUUAUCAGUUGGUUUUGCUAACACUAUGAGAUGGCUUUGCGGUGCAUUAGCUAGUUGGUGGGGUAAAGGCCUACCAAGGCGACGAUGCAUAGCCGACCUGAGAGGGUGAUCGGCCACACUGGGACUGAGACACGGCCCAGACUCCUACGGGAGGCAGCAGUAGGGAAUCUUCCGCAAUGGGCGAAAGCCUGACGGAGCAACGCCGCGUGAGUGAAGAAGGAUUUCGGUUCGUAAAGCUCUGUUGUUAGGGAAGAAUGAUUGUGUAGUAACUAUACACAGUAGAGACGGUACCUAACCAGAAAGCCACGGCUAACUACGUG